rnacentral:misc_RNA from 1 species
AACGCACGAGACCUGCGGACCUGCGGAGGGAUCAUUAAUGAGAAACUGCCCCUCGCGGGUAGAUCUCCCACCCUUUGUAACCUUACCUUUGUUGCUUUGGCAGGCCCGUCUCCGGACCGCCGGCUUCGGCUGGCCAGUGCCUGCCAGAGGAUUCUAAAACUCUGUCUGUCAGUGUUGUCUGAGUCUAUAUACAAUCGUUAAAACUUUUAGCAAUGGAUCUCUAGAUCGGAAGAGCACACG